ensembl:lncRNA
CACCCUUCUGUGGUUAUUAAAGUGAAAACAUGACACUUACACGGAGACAAUAGUUGGUUCAAAGUUUCCAAACCCGUGACAGCACUGUUGCUAGGAGAAGGAGCGCUGGAAAAGGCUUCGUUUUCUAAUGUAUUCAUUUAUUCAUACGUCCGUCUUCAGUGCCCGCCGCGUCCCGGUCAGAGACGCGGUGGAUCCGGAACCUGAAACGGGAUCAGCGCAUCCACAGAGAGUGAAACGAGACGAGAGAGCGGUCUCUCGCUUCGAACAUGGAGUGAAUCGACUGGAAAAAGAUUCGCAAGAGAAAUUUCCUGAUCUGACAAGUGGAACAAAUCUGCUCUGGGGUCCAAACGCAUUCUACACGAUCCUUACACACACACACACACACACACACACACACACACACACACACACACACACACACACGCACACACACACGCACACACACGCAAGACUCUGAACCUUGAGCCGUUACUGCCUGAUGGCUGGCUGACCUUUGAUCAGACGUGCUGCUGCAUGUGUGUGUUGCGAGCGCCGUGUUCGUGAAGCGUCCUCCAAGUCUAAGCGUGUGUGCGUGUGUCUAUGCAAAAACGUCUCGCGUUUGAGAACCUGCUGUGUCGUCGUUAUCUCGUGGCUCUAGUGCAACACACGCAUGCAAAAUCCAGCUGCUGGCUCAAGUUUAAGGACUUUUUUUUUUUCUUUCUUCAUUUUAUUAUUAUUAUUAUUAUUACGAUAUAUCAAAAAUACAUAUUCUUUUCCCCUUCUGGAUACAUCCAUAAUCAACGUAUUUCAUAAGCAAAAUAAUUUAUGUGUUUAAUUUAUUAGUAAUGAUUCUGUUUUACUUUUCAGAGACUUUUAUAAUAUUUAGAUUUGGUAAUGUGUUAAAAAAAAAAAAAAGAAGAAAAAAAAAAAGGAUGUGAGCCUGUUUAUUAUUUUUUUUAAUUUUAUUUUUUUUUUUAAAGAAGCUAUGCUGUAAGGUAGAAUCUUUUUUACUAGUAUUUACUAGUAAACUGUGCUGCUGAGACAUGUUAUAUUUCUGACAGAUAGACGCAGUUUUCGUACCGGUUCAGCGAGCCUUUAAUGCUGAAAUGCAGUCUUUUCGUUUCCUCAUUUACGGGAAACGCUGAUGCUUCACGAGUCGCGGUGUUCUUGUCACAUGAGCGUGACUCGCGAGCAUUAAAAGCAGUGUUGAACAACGACUUGAGUUUCUCAAGCGUCCGUACCUACGAUCCUCGCAUGACCGAACAUCUCCAGCUUGGUGUGUAGUAACACUGGCUGUUUCGAAACUGGUUUUAACACACCCUCACCGACUUCCCCUCGAUUAAAAUCCCUGCCGCCACCUAAAGUGCUGCCGCAUCAGUCGAACCGCUGAAGUGAAGCUCGAGAGAGUCUGGAGUAGAAAUCUGAUUCUGCCGAUGAAUUUAAUCGAGAGCGAUGAAUUCAUAUUCGCAGGCGCUCGCCGGUUUUUCAAUGAUACGGCAGAUUUUGGCGAGGCGCGUCGCGUGACGUCGUUCGACCAAACCCGUCUGCGUUGUAAGUCCACUCCCUAAUAUGGGAGUCAAGGGAAAGUCAACGAGGGUGCAUUGAAAACUAGGUCUGCAGCAUGAGAUUUCUUUUAUUCCAGUAGUGCUGAGCUCUGCGUACGGGGCGGUAAAGCACGGCCAGCGCUUUGCUCAUCAACGCACACAGAAGGACACGUUUUUAUGCUUGAUACUUAGUUAGCCACGCUAGUUCUCGGGUAUUUCCAUCUCAUCAGUUUAAACGUGCAAACCAGAGUCAGAGUUCUCGCUUGUCUGUCUGUCCGUCUCGAGUUCUCCUGCCUGUCUUCAUGCUGUAACGCUUGAGCUGGUCUUAAGCAGUGCAAAGUCCUCAACGAUUCCCCGCUGCAUGACGUACAAUAAUGGAACAUUUUCGGCCAGAGAUCGAAUGUACACGUUUGUUUAGCUUAUUUCCAGUCAUUUGCCGUCAUCAGCCGCUACGUUAGCCUCACUGCUCAAGUACCGAACUAAUGAAGCGAACUUCAAACGCCUUGCGUGUUUUUGCUCUAGAGGACAUUUAGGUGUACAGGCAGCGUCGUACAGUUGUACAGGCCGAAUCGUUGCGUAAAGCUAACUUUUUUUUAGACGUACGACGAAAGGAACACCGAGUUUUUGAAUGACUUGUACACACAGGAACGUUAAGGUUUUGUUUGCUAACACUCUAUUCGUCGAUUAUUAGUAAAUGACCGUAAUGACUGUCGGCGUAUUGAGACGUUUAUCAAGCACGACAUUGUUACUAACCCAAAUGCUGUAUUUGGGAGGAGGCUACGUGUGUACGUGGGAUACGGACGAGUAAGGACCGCCUUAUCUGAGAAAGGUACUUGAUGUUCUUUCAAAUUUGUCCAACGUGAAAACGCUUUGAAGAACCGCUGUCCUUCCGAAUCAGAUGCCAAAACGCGCCACCUGUCCUGCCAGCCUCCUGAGGGCUAGUGAAGCCUUUACGGUAAUAUCGUGCAUGUUAAAUGUCACAAUACGUCAUUUAAACAAUUAGCAGCUACUGUGAAAUGAAUUUGCUAUGAUAUGAAAUGUGCUUUCCAAAAUGCUCAGCAUGUCCUUAAAUCGGCCAUUCUCGUUAUUAUUUCUCCAAUGAUCCAUUGAUGCAAUGUUUUUCCCUUUCUUUUUUUUUUUUUUAAACAGAUGCACACACAUUCUUUCUAUAUAUUGUAGCUGUAAAGAUUUUUUAGGUUAGAACACACCAGCUGAAAUGUUUUUGAUUAUAUUCAUGUUGGAUAUACGUUAAUGUGAAUUAAACAUGGCUGUGCAGU